rnacentral:tRNA from 1 species
CCGACUUUAGCUCAGUUGGUAGAGCGGAGGACAGUAGAUCCUUAGGUCACUGGUUCGAAUCCGGUAGGUCGGA